UUUGUUUUAUUUUUUUUAUAUUAUUUUUGUAAAAUGUUUUAAUUUUAUUAUAUUUUUAAAGAUAUUGAAAAUUUGUUUGUUGAACUGGAUUAGUACCCAGGUAAUCAAAAUUUAUUAAUUCGGGAGUAAAGUUUUGUUUAAACCGAAAAAAUAUUGACUGACUUUAGAUUUUUCUUUGGAACAUGUGUAUGGAGAGUCCUCUUUUUUAGUGAGUUUUAUUGGCACAUGUAUGAUUGUUUAGUUUUUAUGUUAUUUUGUGAUGCUUUUUUUUGUUUAAUUGAAAAACAGAUAUAUAUUUGGUUUAUAAGCUUGUUAAUCAUGUGUUACUAUUAUUAAUUUUUUUUGGAUCUUUUUUUUAAUAUUUUGUGAAAUUGGAAAAGAAAGUAAUUAAAUUUUGAUAUUUUGAUGAAUU
rnacentral:rRNA from 1 species